rnacentral:lncRNA from 1 species
AAAGUUGGGUCCUCCCAUGUUGGUCAUUCUAAUCCCAUUAUUGUUGUUUACAUAAGAGAUGAUGAUGAAAUGAUGUACCAACGUAGAUCACCGUCACCUAAGAGGCAAAAUAAGGAUGUGUGUGUCUCGGCCCCGAAGAAACUUGUGAUACCAAUUACAAAAGAUGUGCCAAUAAUGCUUCCGACAAUUGCACCCUUCCUCCCUCAAGUCCUUCAGAACUAUACUCUUUGGUGCUUCAAGAAAAUGUCAAUUAUAUGACCAACCUGGUGCCUCUAAUGCAAC